UACGUAGGGUGCGAGCGUUAAUCGGAAUUACUGGGCGUAAAGCGUGCGCAGGCGGUUUUGUAAGCCAGAUGUGAAAUCCCCGGGCUUAACCUGGGAAUGGCAUUUGGGACUGCAAAGCUUGAGUGUGGCAGAGGGGACUGGAAUUCCUGGUGUAGCAGUGAAAUGCGUAGAGAUCAGGAGGAAUACCGAUGGCGAAGGCAGGUCCCUGGGCUGACACUGACGCUCAUGCACGAAGCGUGGG
rnacentral:rRNA from 1 species